rnacentral:rRNA from 1 species
UACGUAGGGUGCAAGCGUUGUCCGGAAUUAUUGGGCGUAAAGAGCUCGUAGGCGGUCUGUCGCGUCGGCUGUGAAAGCCCGGGGCUCAACCCCGGGAGGCGGGUGGAUACUGCUCAGCUCGAGUCCGGAAGAGGAGUGUGGAAUUCCUGGUGUAGCGGUGAAAUGCGCAGAUAUCAGGAGGAACACCAAUGGCGAAGGCAGCACUCUGGGACGGUACUGACGCUGAGGCGCGAAAGCCAGGGGAGCAAACGGG